AGAAUUCCAGCAUGUCAAGAGGACGAUUGUGUGGUGUGGCACCAUGAAGAAAGGAUGGAUUGUGUUCUCUCUUGAGGAGGUGUUUGGUUCAGUAAAGGUAACACAAACGUAAAUGUAAUUGGAUUACACUGGUACUGGUAACGGUAUUGGCAAAAAAAUAAACAUGUUUGGUUCGACACUGGUAUCGGUAAUCCUAAUCUGGGCAUGAUGCAGCCAAAAUUCUCCCAAAUCAAUUCUAUGGAACUUUACAUCAGUUCCCCAAUCAAGAACGGAUAAAAUCCGAAAAGCUUGAUGACGAUGAAGAAGAAACUGCUUUCAGCAUCUAGAGCAGGCGGAGGAGGACAACGCAUGAAGAUUCUAAGAACACCCAUGGCGUUGUAGAGGGGACAGGCCGUUGCCGUCUGCUCUUGUGAUUCGGCUGCCGAGAGGACGAGACUGCGGAGGCGAUAUGGGUACACGACGUUGGUGCUCAUCACCGCAGGAGGCUAGGAGGAUCGACGAAGAAGGUUGCAGCAGAUCAGCAGAUGGGAUGGCAGAGGAAGAACUCGAGAUUGGGAUGUGGGCUAUGCCAUGGCUGAGAGAAAAGGAAGGCUAUGUUGCUGGCUGCGGCGAGGAGAAAAAGAGGGAUCUACCGCGGUAACGAAAAUCGUUU
rnacentral:lncRNA from 1 species